rnacentral:rRNA from 1 species
GCCCCGGCUAACUACGUGCCAGCAGCCGCGGUAAUACGUAGGGGGCUAGCGUUGUCCGGAAUCACUGGGCGUAAAGGGUUCGCAGGCGGAAAUUCAAGUCAGGUGUAAAAGGCAGUAGCUUAACUACUGUAAGCAUUUGAAACUGGAUAUCUUGAGAAGUGUAGAGGUAAGUGGAAUUUUUAGUGUAGCGGUGAAAUGCGUAGAUAUUAAAAAGAAUACCUGUGGCGAAAGCGACUUACUGGGCACAUUCUGACGCUGAGGAACGAAAGCGUGGGUAGCAAACAGGAUUAGAUACCCUGGUAGUCCACGCUGUAAACGAUGAGUGCUAGGUAUUGGCAGAAGUCAGUGCCGCAGUUAACACAUUAAGCACUCCGCCUGGGGAGUACGUGCGCA